rnacentral:rRNA from 1 species
AUUGAACGCUGGCGGCAGGCCUAACACAUGCAAGUCGAGCGGAGCGGCGGACGGGUGAGUAAUGCCUAGGAAUCUGCCUGGUAGUGGGGGAUAACGUCCGGAAACGGGCGCUAAUACCGCAUACUAUCAGAUGAGCCUAGGUCGGAUUAGCUAGUUGGGUGGGUAAAGGCUUACCACGGCGACGAUCCGUAGCUUGUCUGAGAGGAUGAUCAGUCACACUGGAGCGGAGACAAGGUCCAGACUCCUUCGGGAGGCAGCAGUGGGGAAUAUUGGACAAUGGGCGAAAGCCUGGUCCAGCCAUGCCGCGUGUGUGAAUAAGGUCUUCGGAUUGUAAAGCACUUUAAGUUGGGAGGCGUUACCAACAGAAUAAGCACCGGCUAACUUCGUGCCAGCAGCCGCGGUAAUUC